rnacentral:rRNA from 6 species
GCAGUGUACCCGCGGCAAGACGGAAAGACCCCGUGAACCUUUACUAUAGCUUGACACUGAACAUUGAGCCUUGAUGUGUAGGAUAGGUGGGAGGCUUUGAAGUGUGGACGCCAGUCUGCAUGGAGCCGACCUUGAAAUACCACCCUUUAAUGUUUGAUGUUCUAACGUGGACCCGUAAUCCGGGUUGCGGACAGUGUCUGGUGGGUAGUUUGACUGGGGCGGUCUCCUCCUAAAGAGUAACGGAGGAGCACGAAGGUUGGCUAAUCCUGGUCGGACAUCAGGAGGUUAGUGCAAUGGCAUAAGCCAGCUUGACUGCGAGCGUGACGGCGCGAGCAGGUGCGAAAGCAGGUCAUAGUGAUCCGGUGGUUCUGAAUGGAAGGGCCAUCGCUCAACGGAUAAAAGGUACUCCGGGGAUAACAGGCUGAUACCGCCCAAGAGUUCAUAUCGACGGCGGUGUUUGGCACCUCGAUGUCGGCUCAUCACAUCCUGGGGCUGAAGUAGGUCCCAAGGGUAUGGCUGUUCGCCAUUUAAAGUGGUACGCGAGCUGGGUUUAGAACGUCGUGAGACAGUUCGGUCCCUAUCUGCCGUGGGCGCUGGAGAACUGAGGGGGGCUGCUCCUAGUACGAGAGGACCGGAGUGGACGCAUCACUGGUGUUCGGGUUGUCAUGCCAAUGGCACUGCCCGGUAGCUAAAUGCGGAAGAGAUAAGUGCUGAAAGCAUCUAAGCACGAAACUUGCCCCGA